UACUAACCUUGCCAGUGGCCUAGUCAUUUUUGUGCAUAUGCAAGCUGUCAAAUCAAUCACUUGCAUAGUCACAAAAGUGAUUGGGACAAGUGUGCGCACUC